CGCGGCCUAUCAGCUUGUUGGUGAGGUAACGGCUCACCAAGGCAACGACGGGUAGCUGGUCUGAGAGGACGAUCAGCCACACUGGGACUGAGACACGGCCCAGACUCCUACGGGAGGCAGCAGCAGGGAAUAUUGCACAAUGGGCGCAAGCCUGAUGCAGCGACGCCGCGUGAGGGAUGAAGGCCUUCGGGUUGUAAACCUCUUUCAGGAGGGAAGAAGCGAAAGUGACGGUACCUCCAGAAGAAGCCCCGGCCAACUACGUGCCAGCAGCCGCGGUAAUACGUAGGGGGCAAGCGUUGUCCGGAUUCAUUGGGCGUAAAGAGCUCGUAGGCGGCUCAGUAAGUCGGCCGUGAAAGCCCGAGGCUCAACCUCGGGACGCCGGUCGAUACUGCUGUGGCUAGGGUCCGGUAGAGGAGAGUGGAAUUCCCGGUGUAGCGGUGAAAUGCGCAGAUAUCGGGAGGAACACCAGUAGCGAAGGCGGCUCUCUGGGCCGGUACCGACGCUGAGGAGCGAAAGCUAGGGGAGCAAACAGGAUUAGAUACCCUGGUAGUCCUAGCCGUAAACGUUGGGCACUAGGUGUGGCGGACUCAUUGACGUCUGCCGUGCCGUAGCUAACGCAUUAAGUGCCCCGCCUGGGGAGUACGG
rnacentral:rRNA from 1 species